CCGUGGGGGGUCCUAUACAUGCAAGUCGAGCGGACAGAUGGGAGCUUGCUCCCUGAUGUUAGCGGCGGACGGGUGAGUAACACGUGGGUAACCUGCCUGUAAGACUGGGAUAACUCCGGGAAACCGGGGCUAAUACCGGAUGGUUGUUUGAACCGCAUGGUUCAGACAUAAAAGGUGGCUUCGGCUACCACUUACAGAUGGACCCGCGGCGCAUUAGCUAGUUGGUGAGGUAACGGCUCACCAAGGCAACGAUGCGUAGCCGACCUGAGAGGGUGAUCGGCCACACUGGGACUGAGACACGGCCCAGACUCCUACGGGAGGCAGCAGUAGGGAAUCUUCCGCAAUGGACGAAAGUCUGACGGAGCAACGCCGCGUGAGUGAUGAAGGUUUUCGGAUCGUAAAGCUCUGUUGUUAGGGAAGAACAAGUGCCGUUCAAAUAGGGCGGCACCUUGACGGUACCUAACCAGAAAGCCACGGCUAACUACGUGCCAGCAGCCGCGGGUAAUACAUCUUAGUUUGGAUCCUGGCUCAGGACGAACGCUGGCGGCGUGCCUAAUACAUGCAAGUCGAGCGGACAGAUGGGAGCUUGCUCCCUGAUGUUAGCGGCGGACGGGUGAGUAACACGUGGGUAACCUGCCUGUAAGACUGGGAUAACUCCGGGAAACCGGGGCUAAUACCGGAUGGUUGUUUGAACCGCAUGGUUCAGACAUAAAAGGUGGCUUCGGCUACCACUUACAGAUGGACCCGCGGCGCAUUAGCUAGUUGGUGAGGUAACGGCUCACCAAGGCAACGAUGCGUAGCCGACCUGAGAGGGUGAUCGGCCACACUGGGACUGAGACACGGCCCAGACUCCUACGGGAGGCAGCAGUAGGGAAUCUUCCGCAAUGGACGAAAGUCUGACGGAGCAACGCCGCGUGAGUGAUGAAGGUUUUCGGAUCGUAAAGCUCUGUUGUUAGGGAAGAACAAGUGCCGUUCAAAUAGGGCGGCACCUGACGGUACCUAACCAGAAAGCCCGGG
rnacentral:rRNA from 1 species